rnacentral:tRNA from 1 species
GCCGCUAUCGUCUAGCCCGGUCUAGGACGCCUCCCUCUCACGGAGGAAACUCGGGUUCAAAUCCCGAUAGCGGUA